rnacentral:rRNA from 1 species
CGAAGGAUCCAAGCGUUAUCCGGAUUUAUUGGGUUUAAAGGGUGCGUAGGCGGACUAUUAAGUCAGUGGUGAAAGCCUGCAGCUUAACUGCAGAACUGCCAUUGAUACUGAUGGUCUUGAGUACAUUUGAGGUGGGCGGAAUGUGUCAUGUAGUGGUGAAAUACUUAGAUAUGACACAGAACUCCGAUUGCGAAGGCAGCUCACUAAACUGUAACUGACGCUGAGGCACGAAAGCGUGGGGAUCAAACAGGAUUAGAUACCCUGGUAGUCCACGCCCUAAACGAUGAUUACUCGAUGUGUGCGAUACACUGUACGCGUCUGAGCGAAAGCAUUAAGUAAUCCACCUGGGGAGUACGGCCGCAAGGCUG